CCUACGGGCGGCAGCAGUAGGGAAUAUUGCACAAUGGGGGAAACCCUGAUGCAGCGACGCCGCGUGAGCGAUGAAGGAUUUCGGUUUGUAAAGCUCUGUCAGUAGGGAAGAAAAUGACGGUAACUAACUAAGAACCUCCGGCUAACGCCGUACCAGCAGCCGCGGUAAUACGUAGGGGGCAAGCGUUAUGCGGAUUUACGGGGGGUAAAGGGAGCGGAGACGGUUUUGCAAGUCAGAUGUGAAAGCCCGUGGCUCAACCCGGGGACUGCAUUUGAAACUGUAAGGCUAGAGUGUCGGAGAGGCAGGUGGAAUUCCAAGUGUAGCGGUGAAAUGCGUAGAUAUUAGGAGGAACACCAGUGGCGAAGGCGACCUGCUGGACGAUAACUGACGUUGAUGUUCGAAAGCGUGGGGAGCAAACAGGAUUAGAUACCCCAGUAGUC
rnacentral:rRNA from 1 species